rnacentral:ncRNA from 1 species
UACCGUAAAGGGCAAACCAUCCGAAAGGGUGGGACGCAAAGUCUCCGGGCCUCCUCCCUCGCGAGUGGCCAGCGGGACCGUCGAA